rnacentral:lncRNA from 1 species
GCACGCCCUCCUCCCCUCCAGCUCACCGAGCGAUCUCCCUUCCUUCCUUCCAGUACUUCCUCCUGGUUGUUCUCCUGAGGAGGAAAAGAAGGGGUGACUCUCCACAUCCUUGCAGCCUCACCUCAUCAUCCCUGCCUGCUGCCUGGCCACACCUGGUCACUCAAGGCCUCCUUCAGUGCCCUGGUCUCAGCUGCCUCAGUAGGCUAGUGGAGCACAGCCAGGGGAGGACAGGAGGAGGGUAUUCUCUGGAGACAGGUGUGCCCCCCUACUGACAGACCCUGCUCAGCAGAACAGAAGCCCUUCAGCGAAUGAGACCUACCCUCUGCGGAAGGCUGGUUAGGAAGCAUCCAUGUCUACUUCAGCGUCUCACCUCCCUGUCACAAACAGAUCACCACAGUUUUCCUCCAGCCUCAUGCUGUCCUCCCCCUAGAGGAAUGUGGGUACAUGGAAUGUUCUCCACCUCCAUGCAUGUCCAGUGACGUUUUGGAUCAGCGUGUCAGGGACGCUGUCAGGCGUGCCUGCUUGCACUCAUCCAGCCCUGGCUGGAUGUGAUUCUACGAGCAGAGCAAGACCAGCAUGUUCUGUCCUCCAGUUAUCACAGCAGUUACUCUGGCAACCUGCAGGCCCUCCCUGAGGUGUCUGACGGCUGAAGCAGGGUCCAGUGGGAUGGAAUGAAGGAUGGGCACCCUGGAAGACAGCCCAUGGAGGGGCCCUUUGGGUCCCCUGCUGCCCUGGGCACCUGCGAAGAGAGAAGCUGAGCCACCCUGCCUGAGGCAGUAGGCAGUAAGAGCUGAAGGGAGCAGGAGGUUAGGGCC